UACGAGGGACCUAGCGUUGUUCGGAAUCAUUGGGCGUAAAGGGUGCGUAGGCGGCCAAGUAAGUCAGUUGUGAAAUCCCCGGGCUCAACCCGGGAAGUGCUUCUGAUACUGCUUGGCUUGAGUAUUGGAGAGGUGAGUGGAAUUCCAGGUGUAGUGGUGAAAUACGUAGAUAUCUGGAGGAACACCGGCGGCGAAGGCGGCUCACUGGCCAUAUACUGACGCUGAAGCACGAAAGCGUGGGGAUCAAACAGG
rnacentral:rRNA from 1 species